CGGUUGAUCCUGGCUGAGGUCAUUGCUAUCGGGGUCCGAUUUAGCCAUGCUAGUCGUGCGAGUUCAGACUCGCGGCGUAUAGCUCAGUAACACGUGGCCAAACUACCCUACGGAGACGGAUAACCUCGGGAAACUGAGGCUAAUACGUCAUAACGCUGCCGAGCUGGAGUGCUGGCAGCUGGAAAUGUUCCGACGCCGUAGGACGUGGCUGCGGCCGAUUAGGUAGACGGUGGGGUAACGGCCCACCGUGCCCAUAAUCGGUACGGGUUGUGAGAGCAAGAGCCCGGAGACGGAAUCUGAGACAAGAUUCCGGGCCCUACGGGGCGCAGCAGGCGCGAAACCUUUACACUGCACGCCAGUGCGAUAAGGGGACCCCGAGUGCGAGGGCAUAUCGUCCUCGCUUUUCUCUACCGUAAGGUGGUAUUGGAAUAAGGGCUGGGCAAGACCGGUGCCAGCCGCCGCGGUAAUACCGGCAGCUCGAGUGAUGACCGAUUUUAUUGGGCCUAAAGCGUCCGUAGCUGGCCGCGUAGGUUCGUCGGGAAAUCCACCUGCUCAACAGGUGGGCGUCCGGCGAAUACCACGUGGCUUGGGACCGGAAGGCUCGAGGGGUACGUCCGGAGUAGGAGUGAAAUCCCGUAAUCCUGGACGGACCGCCGAUGGCGAAAGCACCUCGAGAAGACGGAUCCGACAGUGAGGGACGAAAGCUGGGGUCUCGAACCGGAUUAGAUACCCGGGUAGUCCCAGCCGUAAACAAUGCCAAUUAGGUGUGGCACCGACUACGAGUCGGUGCUGUGCCGUAGGGAAGCCGAUAAAUUGGCCGCCUGGGAAGUACGUCCGCAAGGAUGAAACUUAAAGGAAUUGGCGGGGGAGCACUACAACCGGAGGAGCCUGCGGUUUAAUUGGACUCAACGCCGGACAUCUCACCAGCAUCGACUGUAGCAAUGAUCAUCAGGUUGAUGACCUCUAUGUUGAGCUACAGAGAGGAGGUGCAUGGCCGCCGUCAGCUCGUACCGUGAGGCGUCCUGUUAAGUCAGGCAACGAGCGAGACCCA
rnacentral:rRNA from 1 species